AUGGAUCAAAUGAGUGAAUAUGAAACUAAGAAUAGCGACUUACUUGAGGGUAGUAGUGCCACAAAUGUACAGCAGUCACGUGAAGAGGAGCCACGAAGAGGUCAGAGAUCUCGAAAGCUUACUGAAAAGGCUCAGCAACUGCAUGAUGAUAAGUCAAGAAAACUUCAGCAUCGUUUCACUACAACCUAUGAUAAGUGGAAAGUAACCACCAAGCAAGCUAAGAAAAUGAUAAAGGGAGCCCCCUCUGUUGAGGUUGUUAAGGAUUUGAUGUGUAAGUUAAGUUGUGCAUCAGCAAAUGUGAAACACACAUAUGAAGAUUUGCGCAAAUGUGCUUCCCCAGACAGUGAGAUCCGUCGUAGAGUAGACACCUGUGACGCGGUAUCUAAAAUAAUCUUGGACAAUGCAACCACUUAUCUUCAGAAUAAAGAUAACGAAGAUGUUCAGACAGAGGAUUUAGUCUGGCCUAAGUCUAGUUCAGUGUUUUCAUCUUCAGCUUCUCAAGGCAAAGGUAAGGGCUCUCAAAGAAGUUUAAGCUCUGCAAGCAGUUCCAGCAUAAAGUCACGAAAGUCAAGCCUUUUCUCCAUUAAGAGACAAGAGGCCGUAGCAGAGCUGGCUGCCACACAAGCUGCACUAAAGGUCCUGCAGGAGAUAGAAUGUGAACAACAAGAACUUGAAAGCCUUGAAGAAGAAGAUAGAAAGAGGAUUGCAUUACAAGAGGAAGAGAAUGUGGCAAGAAAGAAAGCACUGGAAGAGAAGCGCAGACAAAUAGAGCGCUUACAGACUGUUAAGAAGCUAAGUGCGGCAAAAGCACGGUUCCAAGUUUAUGAACAAGAUGCAAGCUCAGAUGAGGAAAUAACAGAGUUACUUCAUAACCACGCAGCUCAGCAACAUAGAUCUCCAGGAGCUAUAAGGAGUCCACGUGAGCAUCCUGUGAUACACCAAGCAGAUAGUGUCACAGUCCUCGCUGAAGCAAUAGCAGAGUCUAUUAAUGUAAGCCGUCUCCCAGCACCUGAACCGUCUGUCUUUAUGGGAGAUCCACUAAGAUACAAUGAUUGGAAGAUGUCAUUUCAAACCCUAAUAGGCAGGAAAAACAUUCCAGUAAAUGAAAGGGUCUAUUACCUUCGUAAAUAUGUUGGUGGACCUGCAAAAAGGGCCAUUGAAAGUUAUUUCCUAUUAGGAACGGAUGCAGCUUACAACUCAGCAUGGGAUAUCCUGGAAGAAAGAUUUGGAAGCUCAUUUGUGAUAGCUAAAGCUUUCAAGGAUAAGCUUGCAGCAUGGCCCAAAAUUGGAUCCAAAGACAGUGUUGAGCUGAGGGAUUUUUCAGACUUUCUUAGAGGCUGCCAGGCUGCAAUGUCCCAGAUUAAGAGUCUGGAAGUAUUGAAUGAUUGUGAUGAAAAUCAAAAACUUCUAACAAAACUGCCAGAUUGGCUGGUGGCCAGUUGGAAUAGGAAGGUGAUUGAGAUAGAAGAAACGUGUAAUGCGUUUCCUACUUUCAGUCAGUUUGUGGAAUUCAUCACAAAGGAAGCAAAAAUAGCUUGCAAUCCAGUAACCUCUCUUCAUGCCCUGAAGUCCAAUGAUGUUGAAAAAAUAAAGACAACAAAGACACAAAACAUUGGUGCAAAGGUGUUUGUGAGCAAAUCGGAAGAGAAUGUAGAACCCAAGAGAUGCACCUUUUGUGAAAAAUGCAAUCAUGGUAUUCAGACAUGCUGGAAAUUCAAGGAAAAACCAGUUGCAGAACGUGUUAAAUUUGUUCAGACAAAGAAGUUGUGUUUUGGAUGUUUACAACCAGGACAUCAUUCAAGGACCUGCAAAAGGAGGUGUGUUUGUGAAACAUGUAAGGAAAAACACCCAACAUGUUUACAUGAAGAUCGCGAAAGAGCAACCAGAAGAGAGAAAAGCAGUGAUGAGCAUGGGGAAAAUGUAAAAAAACUCAAAAUAUGCUAUGUCAACGGAAAGAACAGAGUGCAAACACACCCCUGA
rnacentral:lncRNA from 1 species